GACGAACGCUGGCGGCAUGCCUAACACAUGCAAGUCGAACGAGACCUUCGGGUCUAGUGGCGCACGGGUGCGUAACGCGUGGGAACCUGCCCUUAGGUUCGGAAUAACUCCCCGAAAGGGGUGCUAAUACCGGAUAAUGUCUUCGGACCAAAGAUUUAUCGCCUUUGGAUGGGCCCGCGUUGGAUUAGCUAGUUGGUAGGGUAAAAGCCUACCAAGGCGACGAUCCAUAGCUGGUCUGAGAGGAUGAUCAGCCACACUGGGACUGAGACACGGCCCAGACUCCUACGGGAAGCAGCAGUGGGGAAUAUUGGACAAUGGGCGAAAGCCUGAUCCAGCAAUGCCGCGUGAGUGAUGAAGGACUUAGGGUUGUAAAGCUCUUUUACCCGGGAUGAUAAUGACAGUACCGGGAGAAUAAGCUCCGGCUAACUCCGUG
rnacentral:rRNA from 1 species